UGGUAUAUAGGUCGUUGAUCUUAAUGC
rnacentral:piRNA from 1 species